rnacentral:sRNA from 1 species
UCAAAGUCCCCCCCGCUGCCGGCGGGAAG